rnacentral:rRNA from 1 species
GACGAACGCUGGCGGCGUGCUUAACACAUGCAAGUCGAACGGUAAGGCCCUUCGGGGUACACGAGUGGCGAACGGGUGGAGUAACACGUGGGUGAUCUGCCCUGCACUUCGGGAUAAGCCUGGGAAACUGGGUCUAAUACCGGAUAGGACCAUGGACUUCACGGUUUGUGGUGGAAAGCUUUUGCGGUGUGGGAUGGGCCCGCGGCCUAUCAGCUUGUUGGUGGGGUAAUGGCCUACCAAGGCGACGACGGGUAGCCGGCCUGAGAGGGUGUCCGGCCACACUGGGACUGAGAUACGGCCCAGACUCCUACGGGAGGCAGCAGGUGGGAAUAUUGCAACAAGUGGGCGCAAGCCUGAUGCAGCGACGCCGCGUGAGGGAU